rnacentral:rRNA from 1 species
AGAGUUUGAUCAUGGCUCAGAUUGAACGCUGGCGGCAUGCCUUACACAUGCAAGUCGAACGGUAACAGGUCUUCGGAUGCUGACGAGUGGCGAACGGGUGAGUAAUACAUCGGAACGUGCCCGAUCGUGGGGGAUAACGAGGCGAAAGCUUUGCUAAUACCGCAUACGAUCUACGGAUGAAAGCGGGGGAUCUUCGGACCUCGCGCGGACGGAGCGGCCGAUGGCAGAUUAGGUAGUUGGUGGGAUAAAAGCUUACCAAGCCGACGAUCUGUAGCUGGUCUGAGAGGAUGAUCAGCCACACUGGGACUGAGACACGGCCCAGACUCCUACGGGAGGCAGCAGUGGGGAAUUUUGGACAAUGGGCGAAAGCCUGAUCCAGCCAUGCCGCGUGCAGGAUGAAGGCCUUCGGGUUGUAAACUGCUUUUGUACGGAACGAAAAGCCUCUUUCUAAUAAAGAGGGGUCAUGACGGUACCGUAAGAAUAAGCACCGGCUAACUACGUGCCAGCAGCCGCGGUAAUACGUAGGGUGCAAGCGUUAAUCGGAAUUACUGGGCGUAAAGCGUGCGCAGGCGGUUUUGUAAGACAGAGGUGAAAUCCCCGGGCUCAACCUGGGAACUGCCUUUGUGACUGCAAGGCUGGAGUGCGGCAGAGGGGGAUGGAAUUCCGCGUGUAGCAGUGAAAUGCGUAGAUAUGCAGAGGAACACCGAUAGCGAAGGCAAUCCCCUGGGCCUGCACUGACGCUCAUGCACGAAAGCGUGGGGAGCAAACAGGAUUAGAUACCCCGGUAGUCCAA